UACAGAGGUCCCAAGCGUUGUUCGGAUUCACUGGGCGUAAAGGGUGCGUAGGUGGCGAGGUAAGUCGGAUGUGGAAGCUCGGAGCUCAACUCCGAAAUGGCAUUGGAAACUACCUUGCUUGAGGGUUGGAGGGGGGACUGGAAUUCUCGGUGUAGCAGUGAAAUGCGUAGAUAUCGAGAGGAACACCAGUGGCGAAGGCGAGUCCCUGGACAACACCUGACACUGAGGCACGAAAGCUAGGGGAGCAAACAGG
rnacentral:rRNA from 1 species